GUCUACGGCCAUACCACCCUGAACGCGCCCAAUCUCGUCUGAUCUCGGAAGCUAAGCAGGGUCGGGCCUGGUUAGUACUUAGAUGGGAGAAAACUUGGGUGAAACUAGCCUGCCUUUUACA
rnacentral:rRNA from 1 species